GUAGUGGCAAGCGUUGUCCGGAAUUAUUGGGCGUAAAGCGCGCGCAGGCGGUUCUUUAAGUCUGAUGUGAAAGCCCACGGGCUCAACCGUGGAGGGUCAUUGGAAACUGGAGAACUUGAGUACAGAAGAGGAAAGCGGAAUUCCACGUGUAGCGGUGAAAUGCGUAGAGAUGUGGAGGAACACCAGUGGCGAAGGCGGCUUUCUGGUCUGUAACUGACGCUGAGGCGCGAAAGCGUGGGGAGCAAACAGGAUUAGAUACCCUGGUAGUCCACGCCGUAAACGAUGAGCGCUAAGUGUUAGGGGGGUUUCCGCCCCUUAGUGCUGCAGCUAACGCAUUAAGCACUCCGCCUGGGGAGUACGGCCGCAAGGCUG
rnacentral:rRNA from 1 species